rnacentral:rRNA from 1 species
CUUGGUCAUUUAGAGGAAGUAAAAGUCGUAACAAGGUUUCCGUAGGUGAACCUGCGGAAGGAUCAUUCAUAAUAAAGUGUUUUAUGGCACUUUUUUAAAAAAUCCAUAUCCACCUUGCGUGCAAUGUUUUUUAGAUCUAGCCAAAAUGAUAUUUUGGUUAGGUUUUAUUAUAGUACAUCAACUCUUAUUUAACUUGAUUUGUCUGAAAAAUAUUAUGAAUUUUUUAACUUAAUUCAAAAUACAACUUUCAACAACGGAUCUCUUGGCUCUCGCAUCGAUGAAGAACGCAGCGAAAUGCGAUACGUAAUGUGAAUUGCAGAAUUCAGUGAAUCAUCGAAUCUUUGAACGCAUAUUGCGCUCUCUGGUAUUCCGGAGAGCAUGCUUGUUUGAGUAUCAGUAAACACCCUCAGAGCUUUUUUUUUCCUUGAUUUUCGAAUCUUGGGGCUCUGGAUUUGAGUGAUCCCAACGUGGUCUUUUUCGAAAGGACAUGGCGGGCCACUUGAAAUACAGGUGCAGCUGAACUUUCUUCUGAGCUAAAAGCAUAUUUAUUUAGUCCUGUCAGCACAUGUGCUGCCGGAUUAUUACUUCUGCUGCAGCUUACAUAAAGGUUGACUGUUCAAAUGCUGACUGAUACAGAAUUUUUAGCACAGAAAGCGCAAGCGGAUCUGUGCUGUUAAACUCGAUCUCAAAUCAAGUAAGACUACCCGCUGAACUUAAGCAUAUCAAUAAGCGGAGGA